AUUGAACGCUGGCGGCAUGCCUUACACAUGCAAGUCGGACGGUAACAGGUCUUCGGAUGCUGACGAGUGGCGAACGGGUGAGUAAUACAUCGGAACGUGCCCGAGAGUGGGGGAUAACGCGGCGAAAGCUUUGCUAAUACCGCAUACGAUCAAAGGAUGAAAGCAGGGGACCGCAAGGCCUUGCGCUCACGGAGCGGACGAUGGCAGAUUAGGUAGUGGGUGGGAUAAAAGCUUACCAAGCCGACGAUCUGUAGCUGGUCUGAGAGGACGACCAGCCACACUGGGACUGAGACACGGCCCAGACUCCUACGGGAGGCAGCAGUGGGGAAUUUUGGACAAUGGGCGCAAGCCUGAUCCAGCCAUGCCGCGUGCAGGAUGAAGGCCUUCGGGUUGUAAACUGCUUUUGUACGGAACGAAAAGACUCCUUCUAAUAAAGGGGGUCCAUGACGGUACCGUAAGAAUAAGCACCGGCUAACUUCGUGCCAGCCGCCGCGGUAAUAC
rnacentral:rRNA from 1 species